ACGUAGGGUGCAAGCGUUGUCCGGAAUUAUUGGGCGUAAAGAGCUCGUAGGCGGUCUGUCGCGUCGGAUGUGAAACCCUGGGGCUCAACUCCAGGCCUGCAUUCGAUACGGGCAGACUAGAGUGUGGUAGGGGAGACUGGAAUUCCUGGUGUAGCGGUGAAAUGCGCAGAUAUCAGGAGGAACACCGGUGGCGAAGGCGGGUCUCUAGGCCAAUACUGACGCUGAGGAGCGAAAGCGUGGGGAGCAAACAGGAUUAGAUACCCUGGUAGUCCACGCCGUAAACGUUGGGCGCUAGGUGUGGGGAACAUUUCACGUUCUCCGUGCCGCAGCUAACGCAUUAAGCGCCCCGCCUGGGGAGUACGGCCGCAAGGCUA
rnacentral:rRNA from 1 species